GAUGAACGCUAGCGAUAGGCUUAACACAUGCAAGUCGAGGGGCAGCAUGGUCUUAGCUUGCUAAGACUGAUGGCGACCGGCGCACGGGUGCGUAACGCGUAUGCAACUUGCCUCACAGAGGGGGAUAACCCGUCGAAAGACGGACUAAUACCGCGUACACUCCAUCUUGGGCAUCCAAGGUAGAGGAAAUGAAAUUCGCUGUGAGAUAAGCAUGCGUCCCAUUAGCUAGUUGGUGAGGUAACGGCCCACCAAGGCGACGAUGGGUAGGGGAACUGAGAGGUUGAACCCCCACACUGGUACUGAGACACGGACCAGACUCCUACGGGAGGCAGCAGUGAGGAAUAUUGGUCAAUGGGCGAGAGCCUGAACCAGCCAAGUCGCGUGAAGGAUGACUGUCUUAUGGAUUGUAAACUUCUUUUAUACGGGAAUAACAAGAGUCACGUGUGACUCCCUGCAUGUACCGUAUGAAUAAGCAUCGGCUAACUCCGUG
rnacentral:rRNA from 1 species